GUCUACGGCCAUGCUACUCUCAACAAGCCCGAUCCCGUCUGAUCUCGGAAGCUAAGCAGGGUCGGGCCUGGUUAGUACUUGGAUGGGAGACCACCUAGGAAGACCAGGUGCUGUAGAUG
rnacentral:rRNA from 1 species